rnacentral:rRNA from 1 species
GACGAACGCUGGCGGCGUGCUUAACACAUGCAAGUCGAACGAUGAAGGAGAGAGCUUGCUCUUUUUGGAUUAGUGGCGAACGGGUGAGUAACACGUGAGUAAUCUGCCCCGGACUCUGGGAUAAGCGUUGGAAACGACGUCUAAUACCGGAUAUGAAGCGUGGAGGCAUCUUCUGCGUUUGGAAAGAUUUUUUGGUUUGGGAUGAGCUCGCGGCCUAUCAGCUUGUUGGUGAGGUAAUGGCUUACCAAGGCGACGACGGGUAGCCGGCCUGAGAGGGUGACCGGCCACACUGGGACUGAGACACGGCCCAGACUCCUACGGGAGGCAGCAGUGGGGAAUAUUGCACAAUGGGCGCAAGCCUGAUGCAGCAACGCCGCGUGAGGGAUGACGGCCUUCGGGUUGUAAACCUCUUUCGCGAUCGACGAAGCUCCACCUUUUGGGUGGGCUGACGGUAGGUCGAGAAGAAGCACCGGCCAACUACGUGCCAGCCGCCGCCGUAAAAC